rnacentral:rRNA from 1 species
CAGCAGCCGCGGGAAUACGAAGGGUGCAAGCGUUACUCGGAAUUACUGGGCGUAAAGCGUGCGUAGGUGGUGGUUUAAGUCCGUUGUGAAAGCCCUGGGCCCAACCUGGGAAUUGCGGUGGAUACUGGGUCACUAGAGUGUGGUAGAGGAUAGUGGAAUUUCCGGUGUAGCAGUGAAAUGCGUAGAGAUCGGAAGGAACAUCUGUGGCGAAGGCGACUAUCUGGGCCAACACUGACACUGAGGCACGAAAGCGUGGGGAGCAAACAGGAUUAGAUACCCGAGUAGUCCCUGUCUCUUAUAC